GUCUGUGGCCAUGCCACCCUGAACAAGCUGGAUGUCUGAUCUCAGAAGCUAAGCAGGCUGGGCCUGGUUAGUACUUGGAUGGGAGACCACCUAGGAAGACCAGGUGCUAUAGGCA
rnacentral:rRNA from 1 species